rnacentral:tRNA from 1 species
GUCCUUGUCGAUUAGUGGUUAAAUCAUCUCGUUGUGGUUGCUGCUACUCCGAGAAGCCGGAAGUUCGAAUCCUCCCUGGGACA